AAAAAAGUCGCAAAACUUUCAAACGAAAUUACCCACUACAUAAAAAAUGUACAAAAUAAAUUAAAUAUGGUGUAUGAAGAACUAAAUUGGAGAUCAGACAUUACAAUCAAGUCAAAAACCGAUUAUUUGCAAUGUCCAUUUAAUCUUAAUCAUUACAUACCUGAAUAUUCAUUUAAAACUCAUGUCGAAAGGUGCAAGUUAAUAUCUCUAGGCUAUUCACUAAAAGAUAAGGAACUCCCAAGUUCAACAUUUUUUUAUCAAGGCAGAAUUAAUAUUCAAACUAUAUAUAUUA